AACCUACGGGGCGCAGCAGUGGGGAAUAUUGCACAAUGGGGGAAACCCUGAUGCAGCGACGCCGCGUGAGUGAAGAAGUAUUUCGGUAUGUAAAGCUCUAUCAGCAGGGAAGAAAAUGACGGUACCUGACUAAGAAGCCCCGGCUAACUACGUGCCAGCAGCCGCGGUAAUACGUAGGGGGCAAGCGUUAUCCGGAUUUACUGAGUGUAAAGGGAGCGUAGACGGCAUGGCAAGUCAGAUGUGAAAGCCCGGGGCUCAACCCCGGGACUGCAUUUGAAACUGUUUUUCUUGAGUACCGGAGAGGU
rnacentral:rRNA from 1 species